rnacentral:rRNA from 1 species
GGCACCUCGAUGUCGGCUCAUCACAUCCUGGAGGUGAAGAAGCUUCCAAGGGUUCUACUGUUCGUAGAUUAAAGUGAUACGCGAGUUGGGUUCAAACCGUCGUGAGACAGGUUGGUCUCUAUCUGCUACAGGCGUUGAUACUUGAGGAGCGUCAUUCCUAGUACGAGAGGACCGGAAUGACGGAACCUCUGGUGUACCGGCUGUCCUGCCAAGGGCAUCGUCGGGUAACUAUGUUCCGAAUUGAUAAGCGCUGAAAGCAUCUAAGCGCGAAGCAAUCUCCAAGAUUAGGUAUCGUUAUAGAUUCCUCGAAGAUUACGAGGUUGAUAGGCGAUAGGUGAAAGCGCGGCAACGCGUUCAGCCAAGUCGUACUAAUAAAUCAAUAUCUACUCAUC